ACGGGAGGCAGCAGUGGGGAAUAUUGCACAAUGGGGGAAACCCUGAUGCAGCGACGCCGCGUGAAGGAAGAAGUAUCUCGGUAUGUAAACUUCUAUCAGCAGGGAAGAUAAUGACGGUACCUGACUAAGAAGCUCCGGCUAAAUACGUGCCAGCAGCCGCGGUAAUACGUAUGGAGCAAGCGUUAUCCGGAUUUACUGGGUGUAAAGGGUGCGUAGGCGGCAUGGCAAGUCAGAUGUGAAAGACCGGGGCUCAACUCCGGGGCUGCAUUUGAAACUGCCAGGCUGGAGUACAGGAGAGGCAGGCGGAAUUCCUAGUGUAGCGGUGAAAUGCGUAGAUAUUAGGAGGAACACCAGUGGCGAAGGCGGCCUGCUGGACUGUUACUGACGCUGAGGCACGAAAGCGUGGGGAGCAAACAGGAUUAGAUACCCUGGUA
rnacentral:rRNA from 1 species